UGGGGAAUUUUGGACAAUGGGGGAAACCCUGAUCCAGCCAUCCCGCGUGUGCGAUGAAGGCCUUCGGGUUGUAAAGCACUUUUGGCAGGAAAGAAACGUCAUGGGUUAAUACCCCGUGAAACUGACGGUACCUGCAGAAUAAGCACCGGCUAACUACGUGCCAGCAGCCGCGGUAAUACGUAGGGUGCAAGCGUUAAUCGGAAUUACUGGGCGUAAAGCGUGCGCAGGCGGUUCGAAAAGAAAGAUGUGAAAUCCCAGAGCUCAACUUUGGAACUGCAUUUUUAACUACCGGGCUAGAGUGUGUCAGAGGGAGGUGGAAUUCCGCGUGUAGCAGUGAAAUGCGUAGAUAUGCGGAGGAACACCGAUGGCGAAGGCAGCCUCCUGGGAUAACACUGACGCUCAUGCACGAAAGCGUGGGGAGCAAACAGG
rnacentral:rRNA from 1 species